rnacentral:rRNA from 1 species
GUCCACGCCCUAAACGAUGUCUACUAGUUGUCGGGUCUUAAUUGACUUGGUAACGCAGCUAACGCGUGAAGUAGACCGCCUGGGGAGUACGGUCGCAAGAUUAAAACUCAAAGGAAUUGACGGGGACCCGCACAAGCGGUGGAUGAUGUGGAUUAAUUCGAUGCAACGCGAAAACCUUACCUACCCUUGACAUGGCAGGAAUCCUGGAGAGAUCUGGGAGUGCUCGAAAGAGAACCUGCACACAGGUGCUGCAUGGCUGUCGU